rnacentral:rRNA from 1 species
GCUGUAUCAUUGGGCGUAAAGCGUGCGCAGGCGGUUUUGUAAGACAGAGGUGAAAUCCCCGGGCUCAACCUGGGAACUGCCUUUGUGACUGCAAGGCUGGAGUGCGGCAGAGGGGGAUGGAAUUCCGCGUGUAGCAGUGAAAUGCGUAGAUAUGCGGAGGAACACCGAUGGCGAAGGCAAUCCCCUGGGCCUGCACUGACGCUCAUGCACGAAAGCGUGGGGAGCAAACA